rnacentral:rRNA from 1 species
UACGAAGGGGGGCUAGCGUUGCUCGGAAUCACUGGGCGUAAAGGGUGCGGAGGCGGGUCUUUAAGUCAGGGGUGAAAUCCUGGAGCUCAACUCCAGAACUGCCUUUGAUACUGAAGAUCUUGAGUUCGGGAGAGGUGAGUGGAACUGCGAGUGUAGAGGUGAAAUUCGUAGAUAUUCGCAAGAACACCAGUGGCGAAGGCGGCUCACUGGCCCGAUACUGACGCUGAGGCACGAAAGCGUGGGAGCAAACAGGG